UCUCCGUUGGUGAACCAGCGGAGGGAUCAUUAAGAAUUGAACAGCAGUGUCUGGCACUGUUGCCCAUUCUAACCCUUUGUGAACUACAACUCUGUUGCUUCGGGGGCGACCCUGCCGCUUCGGCGGUGCGGCGCCCCCGGAGGCCAAUUAUUAAACUCUGCAUCUCUUGCGUCGGAGUCUUAAAGAAAUUUAAACAAAACUUUCAACAACGGAUCUCUUGGUUCUGGCAUCGAUGAAGAACGCAGC
rnacentral:misc_RNA from 1 species